UGGGGAAUUUUGGACAAUGGGGGAAACCCUGAUCCAGCCAUCCCGCGUGUGCGAUGAAGGCCUUCGGGUUGUAAAGCACUUUUGGCAGGAAAGAAACGUCAUGGGUUAAUACCCCGUGAAACUGACGGUACCUGCAGAAUAAGCACCGGCUAACUACGUGCCAGCAGCCGCGGUAAUACGUAGGGUGCAAGCGUUAAUCGGAAUUACUGGGCGUAAAGCGUGCGCAGGCGGUUCGGAAAGAAAGAUGUGAAAUCCCAGAGCUCAACUUUGGAACUGCAUUUUUAACUACCGGGCUAGAGUGUGUCAGAGGGAGGUGGAAUUCCGCGUGUAGCAGUGAAAUGCGUAGAUAUGCGGAGGAACACCGAUGGCGAAGGCAGCCUCCUGGGAUAACACUGACGCUCAUGCACGAAAGCGUGGGGAGAAAACAGG
rnacentral:rRNA from 1 species